rfam:Ipomoea nil DNA, scaffold: scaffold2283, cultivar: Tokyo-kokei standard.
GUGGGCAUGCCGGAGUGGUUAUUGGGCAUGCCUAGAAAUCAUGUGGGCUUUGCUUGCGCAGGUUCGAAUCUUGCUGCUCAUG